GACAUUUGUCACCCCUUGGCUUGGUAGGUCGUGGACUGUAGCUAGCAGUCAGGGUGCGGGGGUGUCAAUCCCGUACAGAUCUAUACACACAAUGUCCGCUCUCCCUACAAGAGACUCUGGUUACCAACUAGACAACGGAGAAGGCCGUAUCCUGAAGAUGUAUCUCAAACUGUGAAUUCUGAUGUAAGUGCUGGACUAGUAGUGGAGACUCAUAACUGAACCGAUUGAUGUAAACCUAUAUGUCUAUACAUGUAUACAUGAUAUAUAAUUAAUGAUCAAAUGACCUUCGGAUGGAUAUCCGAUCCCACCAGACCACAUCUCAACGAAGAAAAGGAAAUAGGGCGAACUAGCCUUCCUAAGUCAUUUAAUCAUUAUUUAUAUAACUAUACAAGUACAGUCAUACAUUUAACUAAGUGGAAACGUAUCGUGAAGCAGAAGCGUAUCGUGAAGUAUAAGCGUAUCGUGAAGUAUAAGCGUAUCGUGAAGUAGAAGCGUAUCGUGAAGUAUAAGCGUAUCGUGAAGUAUAAGCGUAUCGUGAAGUAUAAGCGUAUCGUGAAGUAUAAGCGUAUCACUAAGUAGAAGUGUUUCACAAAGUAAAAAGCGUAUCACGAGGUGGGAGCAUUAACUAAGUAUAAGGGAAGCAGUAGUAUCUUAACCAAGUAGGAGUAUAAAAACAUGUAAGAAAACUUUGAUGAAAACUUUGGAAAAACCUUAAUAGUUAAGAAAAUCACGGCUUGGUAUUCUUAUUUAAAAUAAGUUUGAAAACCUUUUGAAAACCUUUCGUAAACAAGUUUUAAAUGAAACUUUAAUAAAACAUUCAGCACGAGAGUCAAUUUGAGGAAAGCUUUGAACAAGUAAAGACAUUAUAGAAAACCAUUUAUAGUAUCAUACUUGGUAAAAAAGUUAACAGUGUAAUAAAUCCUUGUGCAUGUGGGUUAUCAAUCACAUGUGAUUGAUAUGAUAACUGGCAUGUUUAACUUGUAUCCCCCCUAAAACGUGUAAAACAGUUGAAAAAGGUUCAUUAAGGGGUAUGAACUCACCUGUUAUAAGUGGAUCCGACUGAGGUGCCGAUAUAGGAUGCUAAGUGUCAAGUGAGGACUUGACCACACACGCGAAUCCUAUUUAACAUGUAAUGAUACAUUUAAGUAUCUAAUUAGUCAUUUAACAACUAAUAACGCAAGUAAGGAUGUCUUACGACAUCAAAACACUUUGCUACAAGUGCUAGAAGUGUCCCAGGUUGCAUAGAAGGUGUGUAUGGACUCACAUUGGAGUUUACUCCUCAAAUGAAGGCCCUUAUGGGUUCUUACGGUUUCAAGACCCUUUCCCCCAUGAGUUUACGGCCGUAAACUCAUGGUAGUAGUGUCAUGGGAUGCUUAAAGGUCUUAACUCACUCAUGGAGUCAUGCUAGUGUUGAAUCAAGGGCUAAGGAAGUGAUUGGGGCUCAAAAUGGACACCAUUUGGGAGUUUACGGUCCAUAGUUUACUCCUUGAGGAGUUUAUGGCCUUAAACACAUGAGUUUACGGUCGUAAACUCAUGUUAGCCCAUUCCUUUGGUUGUUUGGUGGUUCUAACUCAUGUAUGUAAGGUUCUAGUGGCUUUUAGAGACAUAGGAAGGUGUUUAGGGCACUUAAACACCUUGGAAAGGUGUUUACGGUCUAAGGAGAUACACUUGAGGAGUUUACUACCUUAACACAUGAGUUGACGGUAGUAAACUCAUGUUAGUCCCUAAAUCAUGCACUUUUGUGGUUGUAGGUUAAGCAUACGAAGUUCUAGGUCCAAAUCCAAGCCAUACAAAGUGUUGAGGGCACUUUAACACCCUUUGGGGGUGUUUAUGGUCUAAGGAUGUGUGUUUACGGUCCAAGAACCUUCUUGGGCCGUAAACUCAAGUGUGACAUGAUUUUGUAUGCUUUGGUGCAUAAAAUGAAGGAAAAUAAGGUUCUAUGCACCCUAGGAAGUUCAUGGAAAGUGUUUUGGAAGGGUUUUUGAGCAUCAAAACCCACAUUCAAGGGGUUUACGGUUUUGGGAGGCUCCCAAGACAGUAAACUCUAGUUCUUGAGGUUUCCGGAUGAUUAAGUCACGAAUUUGCAAGAUAGAAGUGUUAACAAACAAGCUAGGGAGGAUUACUUACCGAUUUGAGGCUCGGAGGGACGAUUUUUGACCAAAACCCGUUUGUAGAGAGAGAAAGUAGAGAGAAAGAGUCUAAGGUGGUAAAAAGGUGGGAGUGAAUCCCACUCCUCCCUUAUAUAGGGUGGAGCUUAUGGCCUGGCUGGGGUUUUCCUGACACCAACCGCGAACGGGUUUUUCACCACUUCCUUUAUCACGUCAAAUUUUAAAAUUAUACCGCCUUAAUUUUUGUUUGCUUGACGAAUAUUAUUUAAAAUAUUCCAACGGGUUUAAUUCCGGUCAAAAAUAUUUUCGGGAUAAAUUUGACUAAUUUUUGACGUAACUAAUUUCGACGUUAAUUUUUGACGUUAACUUCGACGUUAAAACUAACGGAAAUCUUUAGGUUGUCACAUCAUCCCCCCCGUUAGAGGGAAUUUCGUCCCGAAAUUCAGAUUUAGGCAAGGAAGUAGGUAUGAACGAUCGAGUAGAGGUAUGAGGAUACUUCCUGUUUGGUUCGUCUACGAAGUUAGGGUUCCCGAUGGUUUCUAUCAAGAUGAGUGGGAUACAAGGAGUGGCGUCGGGCAAACACUUAUCAAGUCUAGAGACUUGUGGAAUAUUCGGAAGUAGUAGUGGUCUGACGAGGGUUGGACCAAUCUUUGUAAUGAAUCUCGGAUGGUCCUAAGCUCUCGGAAGGGUAGAGCUUUUCAGUAUUUAGAACAUAGUGUACUUCUAUGGCGAGAUCAUCACUGGCAUGAUCGCCAUUCUGAAGUUCCAACCGUUCUCUCAUAUUGGGAGUGUAGUCCUUCGGAUUGGUUCUUAGAAAGCUCGGGUUGUCCUUGGAUUUCGUGUUUCUACUGUUUGACUUUCAAAGGUUUUCCGGAUCAUCGGAUGGAUUGCAUGUCUACAGGUAUCUGUUUGCUGCAGUGUGUCUAUCUCAAUAUUGUGCAAAAUGGGCCCGCACUUCUGAUUCUUGAGAUAUUUCUAACGGAAACCCUCAGGGUCGGGGAGAUAAGGUUUCACCAGACGAGUGUUGGACUACAUCGGGAGGUGGUUCUACUAUUUCUGUGCGAGAUAGUAUUCGUGGAACACCUAGUAGUCCAAUGAAUCUUGUAAGACAUGCCCUAAUCUCUAAGGCGUUGGUUUAUUUCAGUUGCAGAAAACGCGUGCUCUUGUAUAACCCAUCGACUAACACCUAGAAUGGUGUCUAUUCUAUAAUCUCUUCGGGAUCUGGGUUAUAAGGCUUCACGCAAUCUACUUUCGCACCUUGACCAAGUAUUCUUGGCUACGAAGGUUAUCCUGUUGUUCUUGGCAUUCUAAGGUUCGCUUCGGAGAAUGUAGUCUAUCGUCUACAGGGCGACGGCGGCUUCCUCCAUGUAAGGGAGCGGAGGGUUCUAGGCACUACUUCUCGGUAACGGGGUGGUCAAAGUGCCUGAGUAGUGCGAACAUCUUCUGCAACUACUCUUCCAAAGGUUCUGAGUUUUCUCGGUCUAGGUCAAAUCUAGUGGGUAUAGGGUUCCAUCACUCGGAACUUUGACCUCCAUUAUAUACCACCCUUAUGCAUAUACUCAGUUAUAGUGGUCAAUCCUAUGAGUUCUAUUCCCUGGAUUCACGAACGUACUUGCGAGGUACGAAGGGUCUUUCUGGGGAAUCUACGGAGUAUGUCAUCGUCUUCUGGAAUAUCUGCACUGUCUUCGCUUCGGUAUCUUUCUGUCUAGGAAGGUUGGUUAGCAGCGCGCGAUACCCUUCUCCUGGGUACUUCAGAAGGUUCGAGGUAAGAGGGGCGACUGACGAAUCGCAUUAGGUUUGAUUAUCUAUAUUAUGUUUAGGUCUGGAAGAACCUUUAAUUGCCGAAAUGGCUACGGAGAAAGUUCUUUUUACACAGCACUAAGGAUUUACACAUGGUUGCACAAAGUCGAACCAUAAUUGAUAGAGGUGUCGAAGUUGGCACACUUCGACAUGAUACAGAAUGAGGGUCAAUAGAGUCAUGUGCCGAAAAGGCACACCUGUUCUAGGCGUCACAGGUUUCGUCCCGUGUAUCCCUGUUGCGGAUACAUGGACCGAUAGAGUCGACGCGUAACUGUAGAGAGUCCUGAGUGUUUCUGAGUAGAGUACCUUUUCAUGAAUGGGUUCUCACGAGGCAUUUCUAUAAUCGCCUAACAUAUACUAGUCAUGUAUAAUUAAGGUGGGGAGGACUGUUGACUGAGCGACUCCACCCUAAAUCCACAACCAAACAAGGAACAGGAAAUGAGGCGGCAUUCACUCACUCUAGGUCUAUCCAUGUUAAUUAUACAUGGUCGUAACAUAUAUGUCUAGCCAUUAUAGUUUUACCCAAUGAAACUUUUAAAAUUUAUAACAGGGCUACGACUUUCGUCUUAACGGGGAAGUAAUUUCAUUUAGAAUUAGCCUUUUAAUGUCUUCGGUUAGUUAUCUAGGAUCGAGAGACGUACCAAAAUCUACUGGGUUCCUUGAUGCUUCUCCCUAAGCAUUAGAGUCAGACUCCUCCUGUGUCCUUGUCUUUUCUUUCCGUUGGGAAAUCUCGCUUUAGGUUCCCAAUCCCACCACACAGGCGGCAAGCUGUAUUGGUCGCCACAUUGGUGGUUGAUGUAAUAAACUCAAUCGGGGUUCUGCAGACGCGAGUAGUAUGCCCCUUCAUGUUGCAUCUAGCGCAAUAGAGUUCCCGGCAUACACCAUGAUGAUGGUAGCUACACUUGCCGCAGUGGGGAAGGUCUCCUAGGUAUGGUCUCCUUGAAGUCGGGGUGGAAGAGUUGGCAGGGGUAUGGACUGCCUCAGCUCGUUGCCCUUCGGGAGGUCCUUGAUCCGAGGUACUUCCCUCCUCGAUCUUGAGUUUUCUCUUCAGUGGAUUUGGUUGAGGUUCUCGGGCGGCUGGGUAUGCAGGUGUUGGUUGCUGCUGUCCAUUACUUGGAUCGGAAUUCCUGAUAGGGCUCUUGCUAACGUGGGCAUUGUUAGCACUCAGUUGAGCCAUGACAGCUGCUACGGCUACCAAGACUACAGCUUGGAACGUAGCUUCAUCGAAUAGGAGAGUUGGUUUCUUACCGACGGAUGGGUUACGCUUCUUCGGAGGCAUGGUUUUUCCUACACGGAAAGGAACACAAGCUGAUGAGAGACGAUGGUUAACCCUGGAGAAAUGUAUUAGGCAUAAAUUUUUCCCGUGCUUCGGAUAUUGGUUGUCUGAGUGUCGACCUACAUCCCUAUGAUGUAGUCCUGGUGUUCAAAGUAAGAGUGUGAGUACUAGAAAAAGCCAUAAGAUAGGGGUCGUUCCUACUAAGUUACCUUUAUACUGGGAAAGGUUCACCCUCUGGCUUGGAGAGAUCUGAGAAUAGUUCAGAACGAAUACCGCGGGAAGAAAGGCUCAUGAAUACUUAUGGCUAAACAUCCUCAAUAGAGGUGCGGGGAUCCGCUCUAAUCGUAUUACUUGCAACGGGAAAAGACGAUUUACCUAACACAUAGCGUGAGUAGUGUGAUGACUAACUCACUAAAUUGUAUUAUUUUGUGGGUGUAUUAGCAUGACGAAUCACGAGGAAAAGAUACUUCUCGGGUUCCAUGUACUGGCUCCCUCUGUCUACCUCGUAUCUUUGACUGGGACUGGCAUUGGUUUCCUUCGGGUAGUUAGCUAGGGUUUCUUUCUUGUGAAGACAUAUUGAAUUUAUACUUCGCCUUACUUCCGAAUCCGACUCUGGGUGUCAUCACUUCAUGAUGGAUGACUGGAAAUCUCGGAAGUUUAGGCGAACCGAUGUCCCUAAAAGAUAUAGGCACUUGGUGAUUUCAAUAGUCUCGACCUAAUUCAUUCAUUUCCGAACUGGAAAUCUUCUCAAUGAACUUCUUCUGGGUCUGAAUCAACUCUUCUGUCGCGCACUGAAGUGGAUAGGGUUUUCUACAGGGUUCGUGCGAGAAUGGAAAUGUCUAAAGAAUCCUAAGAGAUUAUUAACAUUUCACUGGAUGAUCCAUAUCGAGUCCUGCUACGAUUACAUAGGGUAUACAAAUCAUAUAUAGCUUAGAUCCGAUAGGCCUUCGAAUAUGUGAUACUACUCUAUAUCCACAUCCCAACGAGGAAAAGGAAGUAGAGCGAAACCACACAUUCUUAGCCUAUGGGAUCCUUAUUAUAUAUAACCUUGGGAGUAUACCCUCUGUAAUUGUAGGUAUAUCAAUAAGGAUCUUUUUAGUUCUUCACACAAGGUUGUCUAUGUAUCCUAAAAUACCCCUAUGGUAUUUUAAUUUCUUGUUUGUUUCUUAUCUUCUGAAUAUGAUUCUGGGAUUAAUGUGAGUCUUUUAGUAUUCCAAAAUACUCCCAUAGUAUUUUAAACUUUAUGUUUGGCUCUAGCAUUCCUAGUUGGUAAGUUUCAGACCUGUUGCAACACCACUAUCACUCCCAAGCACACGUUCAUCGCAUCUNNNNNNNNNNNNNNNNNNNNNNNNNNNNNNNNNNNNNNNNNNNNNNNNNNNNNNNNNNNNNNNNNNNNNNNNNNNNNNNNNNNNNNNNNNNNNNNNNNNNNNNNNNNNNNNNNNNNNNNNNNNNNNNNNNNNNNNNNNNNNNNNNNNNNNNNNNNNNNNNNNNNNNNNNNNNNNNNNNNNNNNNNNNNNNNNNNNNNNNNNNNNNNNNNNNNNNNNNNNNNNNNNNNNNNNNNNNNNNNNNNNNNNNNNNNNNNNNNNNNNNNNNNNNNNNNNNNNNNNNNNNNNNNNNNNNNNNNNNNNNNNNNNNNNNNNNNNNNNNNNNNNNNNGUGUCAGGUUGAUAUUUGCUAUGUGUCACACCCCAAAACCGGAACGGCGGAAACGUUCUAGGGUGGGUGACUUAAUGUCAAGUAUCACAACAUAUGCAGUAUAGUAAUCAAAGUACAACAACCAUUGCAUUAAUAGUAAUAGCUUUACAUGGUUUACAUUGUAUAGAAUCAAUAAAGUAAUACAAGUAAUAAUGUAGGUGCAUCUUGGUACUAAACGGUCUUCACCAAAAGUGCCUGAGAUGUACUUGUCUAUUGCUGACCUGAGAAUACAAGUUAUUUUGAAAGCGAGUAUCAUCAUUUUUAUAAAUGUUGGUGAGUUCAUAAGUCUUUAGUGUCAUUUGUGUAUGUUCAAAAUAACUUUAUAAAAGUGGUAGUUUAGAGUCUACAGUGGAUUAGAGUCCCUUCCAGAAAAUCCUAUAUUUUCUUAAUUAAAAGCAGUCUUCUACCAAGACUUGACACAAUUAUGUUUGCAAAAGUGAUUUUCCGUUAAACACUAUCAUUAUCAAAUACGGUGUUUGAUUUUUAAGAAAGUAGGAGAAUAUCAGGGAAAAUAACAUAUGCCUCAGCAGUGAGGACUGCUGACUAAGGGGAGAGAGAUCAUAGACUCCAGGAGAGUAUCAAACAAACGACACGCCUGGCUCAGUCUAACAGGAGGAGAUACAGACCCCAGACGAUAUCAAAUGAAUGAUACGUCUAGUAAGAUCUAAAACAGUGGAUACAGACCCCAGACAUGAUCAAAUGAAUGAUACGUCUAGCAAGGUCUAAAAUAGUGGAUACAGACCCCAGACAGUAUCAAUUGAAUGAUACGUCUAGCAAGGUCUAAAAACAGUGGAUACAGCCCCAGACAGUAUCAAUUGAAUGAUAUGUCUAGCAAGGUCUAAAAACAGUGGAAUUCUAGGUGUGGAUAUUCGAGAUGUGUAUUUUCUAGGUGUGUAUUUCCAGCAAACAGUGUUAAACGUCAUUACCUUAAGGCCAUGAAUUAUAAGGUAACAUGGAGAUACUCGUAACCAUACUAAUCGACACUGGAGUACUUGACGCCCUGCAAGCGUCGGUGUGAAUAUGACAUUUGUCACCCCUUGGCUUGGUAGGUCGUGGACUGUAGCUAGCAGUCAGGGUGCGGGGGUGUCAAUCCCGUACAGAUCUAUACACACAAUGUCCGCUCUCCCUACAAGAGACUCUGGUUACCAACUAGACAACGGAGAAGGCCGUAUCCUGAAGAUGUAUCUCAAACUGUGAAUUCCGAUGUAAGUGUUGGACUAGUAGUAGAGACUCAUAACCGAACCGAUCGAUGUAAACCUAUAUGUCUAUACAUGUAUACAUGAUAUAUAAUUAAUGAUCAAAUGACCUUCGGAUGGAUAUCCGAUCCCACCAGACCACAUCUCAACG
rnacentral:lncRNA from 1 species